GACGAACGCUGGCGGCGUGCCUAAUACAUGCUAGUCGAGCGGACGGAUGGGAGCUUGCUCCCAGACCGUCAGCGGCGGACGGGUGAGUAACACGUGGGCAACCUGCCUGUAAGACUGGGAUAACUCCGGGACACCGGUGCUAAUACCGGAUAACUCUUUCCCUCACAUGAGGGAAAGCUGAAAGAUGGCAUCUCGCUAUCACUUACAGAUGGGCCCGCGGCGCAUUAGCUAGUUGGUGAGGUAACGGCUCACCAAGCCGCCGAUGCCUAGCCCACCUGACAUGGUGAUCGGCCACACUGGGACUGACACACGGUCCAGACUCCUACGCGAGGCAGCAGUAGGGAAUCUUCCGCAAUAGACGAAAGACUGCCCGAGCAACGCCGCGUGAGUGAUGAAGGUUUUCGCAUCCUAAAACUCUGUGGUCACGGAAGAACAAGUACCGGAGCAACUGCCGGUACCUUGACGGUACCUGACCAGAAAGCCCCGGCUAACUACGUG
rnacentral:rRNA from 1 species